rnacentral:rRNA from 1 species
AGCGAACGCUGGCGGCAGGCUUAACACAUGCAAGUCGAACGGGCGUAGCAAUACGUCAGUGGCAGACGGGUGAGUAACACGUGGGAACGUACCUUUUGGUUCGGAACAACUGAGGGAAACUUCAGCUAAUACCGGAUAAGCCCUUACGGGGAAAGAUUUAUUGCGGAAAGAUCGGCCCGCGUCUGAUUAGGUAGUUGGUAGGGUAAUGGCCUACCAAGGCGACGAUCAGUAGCUGGUCUGAGAGGAUGAUCAGCCACACUGGGACUGAGACACGGCCCAGACUCCUACGGGAGGCAGCAGUGGGGAAUAUUGGACAAUGGGCGCAAGCCUGAUCCAGCCAUGCCGCGUGAGUGAUGAAGGCCCUAGGGUUGUAAAGCUCUUUUAACGGGGAAGAUAAUGACGGUACCCGUAGAAUAAGCCCCGGCUAACUUCGUGCCAGCCGCCGCCGUAAAAC